CAAUAGCGUAUAUUAAAGUUGUUGCAGUUAAAAAGCUCGUAGUUGGAUUUCUGGUAGGAGUGACCGUUCCGAACUUGAUUGUUCGUGUAUUGUGUUUUCUCCAGCCAUCCUUGUGGAGAACUUUUCUUGCAUUAAUUUGUAGGGAUUGGGACCCGCAUCGUUUACUGUGAAAAAAUUAGAGUGUUUAAAGCAGGCAAUCGCCUGAAUACAUUAGCAUGGAAUAAUAAGAUAGGACUUUGGUACUAUUUUGUUGGUUUGCAUACCAAAUUAAUGAUCAACAGGAACAGUUUGAGGAUAUUCGUAUGAACAUGUCAGAGGUGAAAUUCUUGGAUUUUGAUCAGACGAACUACUGCGAAAGCAUUUAUCAAGGAUGUUUUCAUUAA
rnacentral:rRNA from 1 species